rnacentral:ncRNA from 1 species
AUCGUAGUUAAAUCUAGCAAGUUUAACACAUAGCCGCCUUGGUUGAAUAAGAUGUAGCUGGAGUACAGGAAGACCGACCCAUAAGCUUAUUCGUAAAUCCCACAG